rnacentral:snRNA from 1 species
GAGCUUUCCCCGGGCGUC